rnacentral:rRNA from 1 species
CCUACGGGUGGCAGCAGUGAGGAAUAUUGGUCAAUGGGCGAGAGCCUGAACCAGCCAAGUCGCGUGAGGGAAGACGGUCCUAUGGAUUGUAAACCUCUUUUGUCGGGGAGCAAAAGACGCCACGCGUGGCGUUCCGAGAGUACCCGGAGAAAAAGCAUCGGCUAAGUCCGAGCCAGCAGCCGCGGUAAUACGUAGGAUUCAAGCGUUAUCCGGAUUUAUUGGGUUUAAAGGGUUCGUAGGCGGGUCGAUAAGUUAGAGGUGAAAUCCCGGGGCUCAACUCCGGCACUGCCUCUGAUACUGUCGGGCUAGAGUUUAGUAGCGGGAGGCGGAAUGUAUGGUGUAGCGGUGAAAUGCAUAGAGAUCAUGCAGAACACCGAUUGCGAAGGCAGCUUACCAAACUACGACUGACGUUGAGGCACGAAAGCGUGGGGAGCAAACAGGAUUAGAUACCCGAGUAGUC